GCCGCUUAGCCAGGCAUUAAUGGGGGGUCAGGUGGCGGCUACCGCAGAGCGCCAACAACAUCUUCUCAACUCGGUGCAGCUGCUCCUUCUCCUGCUCCCCGAAGAGCAUCGCGAGUUACUGCAGCACAUUAUUAAAAUGCUCCAUUCGGUGGCAGCGCGUGAGGAGAGCAACAAGAUGUCCGCGGAGAAUUUGGCCAUCUUGCUUACACCGCACCUGAUUUGCCCCAGGCAAAUGCCGCCUGAGGCGCUCCACUAUACGGCGAAGAAGAUGUCCAGCAUUGUGUCCUACAUGAUUCAGCAGGGUCUGGAAAUCUUCGAAGUUCCCGGAAAGCUAGCCACCGAUAUUCGGGCGUACUUUCUUGAGCGCAAACGCAAAAAAACCAUGUCACCGGAGCAAACCCUUGAAGAAUCCAUCUCGGACGACUCGACGGUCAACACGGUGUACACUUUUGUAGAUCGUGCCGCCACGGCAGCGGCAAACAACAGCAAUUACACGGACACUGCACUGGCGCAGCUGUACGCGCACAUUCAGAGCCUUCCGGAGUCCUCCAAGAAGCGUCGCCUCAUCAAGCAGCUUAACAAGCAAAACGGACAAGGCACACCGCUGCAGGUCAUCGCGAGGAGCUCCAGCGUGCCAUAAGGGAGCAUCACGAGAAGCAUGAUGCCAAAAUGAUGCGCGCCAUGGAGGAGGCAGAGCCUAUGCCAUAAAUGCGGCUAAACUGAAACUGUAAACACUUUUGUAUGCGACGUAAUAAAGACUUGAAUGUACCCAAAGCA